UACGGGGGAUGCAAGCGUUAUCCGGAAUUAUUGGGCGUAAAGGGUCCUGAGGUGGCUAGCCAAGUCUAUUGUGAAAUAUCAGGGCUUAACCCUGAACAUGCGGUGGAAACUAGAAAGCUUGAGUACGGUAGGGGCAGAGGGAAUUUCCGGUGGAGCGGUGAAAUGCGUAGAGAUCGGAAAGAACACCAACGGCGAAAGCACUCUGCUGGGCCGACACUGACACUGAGAGACGAAAGCUAGGGGAGCGAAUGGG
rnacentral:rRNA from 1 species